rnacentral:rRNA from 1 species
GACGAACGCUGGCGGCGUGCUUAACACAUGCAAGUCGAACGGAAAGGCCCUGCUUUUGUGGGGUGCUCGAGUGGCGAACGGGUGAGUAACACGUGAGUAACCUGCCCUUGACUUUGGGAUAACUUCAGGAAACUGGGGCUAAUACCGGAUAGGAGCUCCUGCUGCAUGGUGGGGGUUGGAAAGUUUCGGCGGUUGGGGAUGGACUCGCGGCUUAUCAGCUUGUUGGUGGGGUAGUGGCUUACCAAGGCUUUGACGGGUAGCCGGCCUGAGAGGGUGACCGGCCACAUUGGGACUGAGAUACGGCCCUGACUCCUACGGGAGGUAGCAGUGGGGAAUAUUGCACAAUGGGCGGAAGCCUGAUGCAGCAACGCCGCGUGCGGGAUGACGGCCUUCGGGUUGUAAACCGCUUUCGCCUGUGACGAAGCGUGAGUGACGGUAAUGGGUAAAGAAGCACCGGCUAACUACGUG